rnacentral:rRNA from 1 species
UAGAGUUUGAUCCUGGCUCAGAUUGAACGCUGGCGGCAUGCCUUACACAUGCAAGUCGGACGGCAGCGCGGGAGCAAUCCUGGCGGCGAGUGGCGAACGGGUGUGUAAUACAUCGGAACAUGUCCAGUAGUGGGGGAUAGCCCGGCGAAAGCCGGAUUAAUACCGCAUACGAUCUAUGGAUGAAAGCGGGGGAUCGCAAGACCUCGCGCUAUUGGGGUGGCCGAUGGCGGAUUAGCUAGUUGGUGGGGUAAAGGCCUACCAAGGCGACGAUCCGUAGCUGGUCUGAGAGGACGACCAGCCACACUGGGACUGAGACACGGCCCAGACUCCUACGGGAGGCAGCAGUGGGGAAUUUUGGACAAUGGGGGCAACCCUGAUCCAGCAAUGCCGCGUGUGUGAAGAAGGCCUUCGGGUUGUAAAGCACUUUUGUCCGGGAAGAAAUCCCCUGCCCUAAUACGGCGGGGGGAUGACGGUACCGGAAGAAUAAGCACCGGCUAACUACGUGCCAGCAGCCGCGGUA